AUUGUUCGUUUAAAAGUAUAAGAUUGUAUUAUAUUCCAUGUACGGGCAGAAAGUUUCAAUUUCUAACUAAACGUAAUGUACUCGUAUAGCCUUCCCAUCAGUUGCUCAUACCAAGCGCCCCAGUCUUAUAAGAUGUGCUUGAAUUUGAUAUAAUUAUUAUUGUUGCACAGCUCAGCACAUAAUAUGUGCAGUGCAGUGCAUUCCAACUUUCAUUAUCAUUUAAUAUGUUAUCUUUUAUUCGAGAUACCGUUAGUACAAACUCCGUGUUAAAAAAAAAUUGAAUAAAGAAUAAAUAUGGAAAAAUUAUAAGUAUCAAAACUAUUUGUCAGUUAUUUCUUAAUUGCAUUGCAUGCAUAUUUUACGUAACGUACUUCUUUAAAUAUACUUACUAAUAAAUGAGACUAAUUACUAGGAAAUCAAAUCAAAAUAGACAAUUUCGUAUUAAAUACAUAUUAAAUACCACACAAAUAAAUGAAAUAAAUACCUCGUUCUCAAAGUAUUGCUUUUAUAAAAUUUUGUAAGGAUUGUAGCGAAAACGAAAAAGUAGCGGUAAAACAUUUAAGUUGGUAACCCUGACGCCCCUUGUGACGCCACGACAAGCGAGCUGCGAGUGCGCCACCAGUCCGCCAUCUUUCUUACCUUUUUGAUUGUUGACUUGUAAAUUUUGUAAUUAGUUUUUGCCGACGUCCACCGUGCCGUUUUUUAAGUAAUUUUUGGUAUUUUAAAAAUUGUGUUACUUUAGUGGACACGUGGAGACAUGGACGCUGACUGUUGGAAGAAUUCGUCAAUUCAGACUGGCGCAAAGAGCUAUCAGGGCGCGAUGCCAGGAAUUUCAUUGCGAGACAGAAUUCGAAAUGAGGAUAUUCGCCAACGCAAUAAAGUUACCGACAUUGCAAAAAGGAUUAACUCAAGUGGGAAUGGACCGGCUAUAUUUUUCGCAGAGAUGACGAUCAAUGGGGUCGCCUAGUAUUGCUGUGGAGACCUAGCCUGGGUGGCCGAGGUGGCGGGAAACCACGAGCAGAUGGUCGGAUGACAUCAAAAAACGGCAGGGCCCACCUGGCACAGAACCGUCACAUAUAGAACGGAGUGGAAACCCACGGAAUGCAGACCAGGAUCAUAUACUUUAGGUAUGAGUUUGUUACUUUUGCUCAUAAUAACAUGGAGUAUGUCACAGCUGCUCCACGGGCUGCAUUGAAGGGCAACAGGAGCGAAAAUGGAAAGGAGCUCCCCCUUUCAAUUAGAGAAUCUUAGGAUAUGCUAAGGCAAACAGAAGGAGGCAAGGAACAGGACUGCAUCAAUUGCUGUUUGGAACCAAUCUUGUGGGAUGACUUCUGGACAGGGAAAAAACAAUUUCAUCAUCUACCCUAAUACUGACGAAUGUUCUAAAACGUGCUGUAAGGCAGACAUUUCCAAAUGUAACGGAGGAAAGUUUCGAGACAUGUAAUGGUUUCAACACGCUGCUGAGACCCAACUCAAGAGACGUCAGUUUGUACUGUUUUGUCCAUUUUCUAUUGGGCAUGCUUGUAUGGAGAGGUAUAUAUAUUGGAGUACAGACAUGGUGUUUGGUAUGAGUAUUAUAUACAUCCUCUUGAGUCAAAGAGGACCGGUAGCCACUUUGAACUCCGUGUCCGAAAGGGUCAAAGUAUGGAGCUCCCGGUACUCAGAAAAAAAAUUCUGGCCUAUUAGUUUUGAACUUUCGAGUCAAGUUUGGUGUCAUUUUUAUGUAAACUGUUCGCUUCAUUUUUAAAUUGAAGAAGAUUAAAAAUCACAGUAAUAUUAUUAAGGCAAAAGUUUGUGAGCAUACUGUGUUUGUUACUUCCUCACGCCACGCCCAAGUGCCUUAACAAAUAUUAUUUAUAAAAUUAAGUAUGGAGGAAGUAAGAUAUACCCUAAGUUAACACGUCGCUUCUUCUUGAUCGUGGGUAACACUCGGGGCGCAGUAUAAUGAUUAUUAAAAAUCUUUAUGCUGUCCCCUAUGCUGCGAUGGCGAUCGUUGCAGUACUUUCAAUAUUUUUUUUACAUCAAAUAUUAGAAUCAUCAAAGAUCACUAAUAAAAUAGGCUUU